rnacentral:rRNA from 1 species
AUUGAACGCUGGCGGCAGGCCUAACACAUGCAAGUCGAGCGGAUGAAGGGAGCUUGCUCCUGGAUUCAGCGGCGGACGGGUGAGUAAUGCCUAGGAAUCUGCCUGGUAUUGGGGGAUAACGUCCGGAAACGGGCGCUAAUCCCGCAUACUUCCUGAGGUAGAAAGUGGGGGAUCUUCGGACCUCACGCUAUCAGAUGAGCCUAGGUCGGAUUAGCUAGUUGGUGGGUUAAGGGCCUACCAAGGCGACGAUCCGUAACUGGUCUGAGAGGAUGAUCAGUCACACUGGAACGGAGACACGGUCCAGACUCCUACGGGAGGCAGCAGUGGGGAAUAUUGGACAAUGGGCGAAAGCCUGAUCCAGCCAUGCCGCGUGUGUGAAGAAGGUCUUCGGAUUGUAAAGCACUUUAAGUUGGGAGGAAGGGCAGUAAGUUAAUACCUUGCUGUUUUGACGUUACCAACAGAAUAAGCACCGGCUAACUUCGUG